rnacentral:lncRNA from 1 species
UGAAAAUCAAAAUCAUUUAUUUCCAGGAUCAAUCGUCAGAACUUCUUCUCCGGGACUCAGAUACACGGGGAGGGGAAGGAGGAGGGGGAGAGAGAGAGAGAGCCCGGGGGGAGAGAGGAUCAACAGAAACAGUCUUCAGUGUCUUUCAUCAGCAGCACUGAUGCUUUCCGGGCAGAGGAAGGACUGCUGCGGCACCCACCGUCGUCUUCUUGGCUCGAACCAGCUCCGAGCAAGCAGCAGAGGAGCAAAAGCAAGAACUGAAGGCAGAACGAACCCAAUUCGCAAUGCGCUCCCACAUCAUCCUCUUCACCAGCCUCCUCCUCGCCGGAAUCACCCCUCCCCUCUUGCCUCGGUCACGCGCCUCCGUUCCUUCUGCCGCCGCUGCCGCCUUCAUCUUCGCCUCCUCCGCGAUGCACGACACCUUCAAUCCGUGACUUUCGCUCUUCCCCAUCGCUCUCGAUCUCGAUCUCGAUCUUUUCUUCUCUUGAGGAAACGCGAGCGCCUUUAACUCCCUCUCUCCUCUCUCCCUCUCUCUUCCUCUCUUCUCAUCGGCCUGGUCUUAUUAAGGAAAAGGGAAGAAGCCGC